CGAGAUAGGCCAAACGAACUACCACUAAGCCACCAGGGACGAUCUGAAAUUUUUGUGAAAUUAAAGACAAUAGUAGAUUGUUGUGACCUGCUUAUCUCAUACGGUGUAGGAGACUAUUAUGCGGUGAAUGGCGGUGAACGCGGUGAAAAAAUUCAAUAUGAAAUCAACACAGAAUGAUUAGCUGGAUCUCUUCGGGCCAGGUUCAACAUAGCAAUAUUUUAUACUACUUGCAAAGCGAUUUCUCACAUAGAACUAUAAAAAGAGUAAAAAAUAGCCAGAUUAUAUAAAGGGAAGAAAAAUAUUGAGAAUCCGCUACAAAAUAUGAGUUCAACGGGAUUUGAACCCAAACGUUAAUAGAGACAGGACAUACGAACUACCACUAAGCCACCAGGGACGAUCUGAAGUUCUUGCGAAAUUAAAGACAAUAGUAGAUUGUUGUGACCUGCUUAUCUCAUGCGGUGUAGGAGACUAUUAUGCGGUGAAUGGCGGUGAACGCGGUGAAGAAUUCAAUAUGAAAUCAACACAGAAUGAUUAGCUGGAUCUCUUCGGGCCAGGUUCAACAUAGCAAUAUUUUUUUCUGCUUGUAAAGCAAUUUCUCACAUAGAAAUAUAAAAAGAGUAAAAAAUAGCCAGAUUAUAUAAAGAUUAAAGGGAAAAAAAAUUGUGAGUCUGCUACAAAAUAUGAGUUCAGCGUGAUUUGAACUCAAACGUUUAUCGAGAUAGGCCAAACGAACUACCACUAAGCCACCAGGGACGAUCUGAAAUUUUUGUGAAAUUAAAGACAAUAGUAGAUUGUUGUGACCUGCUUAUCUCAUACGGUGUAGGAGACUAUUAUGCGGUGAAUGGCGGUGAACGCGGUGAAAAAAUUCAAUAUGAAAUCAACACAGAAUGAUUAGCUGGAUCUCUUCGGGCUAGGUUCAACAUAGCAAUAUUUUAUACUACUUGCAAAGCGAUUUCUCACAUAGAACUAUAAAAAGAGUAAAAAAUAGCCAGAUUAUAUAAAGGGAAAAAAAAUAUUGAGAGUCCGCUACAAAAUAUGAGUUCAACGUGAUUUGAACCCAAACGUUAAUAGAGACAGGCCAGACGAACUACCACUAAGCCACCAGGGACGAUCUGAAAUUUUUGUGAAAUUAAAGACAAUAGUAAAUUGUUGUGACCUGCUUAUCUCAUGCGGUGUAGGAGACUAUUAUGCGGUGAAUGGCGGUGAACGCGGUGAAAGAAUUCAAUAUGAAAUCAACAGAGAAUGAUUAGCUGGAUCUCUUCGGGCCAGGUUCAACAUAGCAAUAUUUUAUACUACUUGCAAAGCGAUUUCUCACAUAGAACUAAAAAAAGAGUAAAAAAUAGCCAGAUUAUAUAAAGGGAAAAAAAAUAUUGUGAGUCCGCUACAAAAUAUGAGUUCAACGUGAUUUGAACCCAAACGUUAAUAGAGACAGGCCAUACGAACUACCACUAAGCCACCAGGGACGAUCUGAAAUUUUUGUGAAAUUAAAGACAAUAGUAGAUUGUUGUCACCUGCUUAUCUCAUGCGGUGCAGGAGACUAUUAUGCGGUGAAUGGCGGUGAACGCGGUGAAAGAAUUCAAUAUGAAAUCAACAGAGAAUGAUUAGUUGGAUCUCUUCGGGCCAGGUUCAACAUAGCAAUAUUUUAUACUACUUGCAAAGCGAUUUCUCACAUAGAACUAUAAAAAGAGUAAAAAAUAGCCAGAUUAUAUAAAG
rnacentral:lncRNA from 1 species